rnacentral:rRNA from 1 species
UACGUAGGGCGCAAGCGUUGUCGGAAUUAUUGGGCGUAAAGAGCUCGUAGGUGGUGUGUCGCGUCUGCCGUGAAAGCCCGGGGCUUAACUCCGGGUCUGCGGUGGAUACGGGCAGACUAGAGUGAUGUAGGGGAGACUGGAAUUCCUGGUGUAGCGGUGAAAUGCGCAGAUAUCAGGAGGAACACCGAUGGCGAAGGCAGGUCUCUGGGCAGUAACUGACGCUGAGGAGCGAAAGCGUGGGGAGCGAACAGG